GAUUCUUGAACUGACAGCAUUUGAAGGUAUCAUCCCUUGGUGGGGGUGAGUAAGGAUGAGAUGUCCUUUUAAGAAUCUGCCAGGAUGUUGAUGAGUUUAAGAUAAGGUGGCUCUCUGAAACCAGAUGAGCUCAGUCCAGAAAUUGGGUGUUUUUGUGAUGUCAUCUGAGGCAAGCAAUUAGAGGUACUAUUCAAAGAAAGAUAAUUACAAGAGACAUAGCUCUCAGCUGGCUAAUGGUAUUGGAGGUCAUAAGGGCCGCGGGACUCAGGGAUGCCACCACUGCUCAUUGAGCUGCCACCUGCCUGGGAUCGGUAGGGGACUGAGGCUAGGUCACAGGCUCAGGGUUCGUCUCUGGCCACUCCAGGGAAUCAGCCCCUCUCUUCUCUACUCCUAGGACUUUCCUCUGACUCAGAUCCUGGUAUCGGCCUUCACGGAACAUGCCUGACACCCCAAUAGAAGACUCUAUUUUCCAUAUCAUUCACUGCUAUCACCUCUAUGCUGCUAGAGAGGGAGACGUGGACACCCUAAGCCUGGACGAGCUCAGUGCCCUGCUCACAGAAAACAUGCCCCGAUUCAUGGAGGGUCUGGGCCGGAGUCAGCCGGAGUAUUUGAAGCAACUGUUUCAAGUGGCCGACAAGGACAAAGACAACCAGAUCUGCUUUGACGAAUUUAUCUACAUUGUGGGAAAGGUGAUGAAGGACUAUCACCUGCAGUACCACCGGCAGCUGUGUGCCCACUACUGCCGGGCAAAUGACCUGCACUGAAGGAUGCACCGAUUCCUCCUGACUCCUUUCCCGCCACAGUGCCCUGGAGACCUCAGUGAUGCCAGCAUCUGUGGGUUACCAGGCCAUGUGGGACGCUGGGAGCAGGGAUGCUUUUUGAGUCUGGGUUUGACUGACGUUCUAUAGCUGUUUGACCAUGGACAAGCUAUUUUACAUUUCUGAAAAGAGGUUUCCAUCUCUGUAAAAUGAAGAUAAUAAUAAUUGCAAUGCCAGCCUCACAGGAUUGUUAUGAGAAAAUUACUUUUGUAAUUACUUUUGAAGGGUUACGGACAUGAGAAUAUUUUUCAGUUAGGGACCGGGGCUGGGAGUGGGGAGAUAUUUCAGCUUGUAAAACAAAAACAAGGUGGAUAUGGAACCAGGCAUUGCUUAUUUUGCAGGGAGAUAGAGUGGGGAUAUGAGGGUAGGGGUAGGGAAAGGCAGUUCUUUACCACUUGCCAUGGGCCAGUGACUUAACCUCUCAAAGCCUCAGUUUUCUCAUCUGUAAAAUGUUGAUAAUACUUGCACUGCCUACCUCAAAGGGUUGUUUUGGGGAGAGCACUUCAUGAGCUCUUGUUAUUUUUUUAUUUAAGCUGAUACGGGGGCAUAAAUAAAGUAACUUCCUAUCUUUGGGGUUCUACUAAU
rnacentral:lncRNA from 1 species